rnacentral:rRNA from 1 species
GACGAACCGUGCGAACGUUGUUCGGAAUCACUGGGCGUAAAGGGCGCGUAGGCGGCCCGCACAAGUCUGCGGUGAAAACCCCCGGCUUAACCGGGGGCCGGCCGUGGAAACUGUCGGGCUGGAGGCUGGGAGAGGGCAGCGGAAUUCCCGGUGUACGCGGUGGAAUGCGGCAGAUAUCAGGAGGAACACCGAUAGCGAAGGCGGCUCACUGGAGCC